rnacentral:rRNA from 1 species
GACGAACGCUGUCGGCGUGCUUAACACAUGCAAGUCGAACGGAAAGGCCCUGCUUUUGUGGGGUGCUCGAGUGGCGAACGGGUGAGUAACACGUGAGUAACCUGCCCUUGACUUUGGGAUAACUUCAGGAAACUGGGGCUAAUACCGGAUAGGAGCUCCUGCUGCAUGGUGGGGGUUGGAAAGUUUCGGCGGUUGGGGAUGGACUCGCGGCUUAUCAGCUUGUUGGUGGGGUAGUGGCUUACCAAGGCUUUGACGGGUAGCCGGCCUGAGAGGGUGACCGGCCACAUUGGGACUGAGAUACGGCCCAGACUCCUACGGGAGGCAGCAGUGGGGAAUAUUGCACAAUGGGCGGAAGCCUGAUGCAGCAACGCCGCGUGCGGGAUGACGGCCUUCGGGUUGUAAACCGCUUUCGCCUGUGACGAAGCGUGAGUGACGGUAAUGGGUAAAGAAGCACCGGCUAACUACGUGCCAGCAGCCGCGGUGAUACGUAGGGUGCGAGCGUUGUCCGGAUUUAUUGGGCGUAAAGGGCUCGUAGGUGGUUGAUCGCGUCGGAAGUGUAAUCUUGGGGCUUAACCCUGAGCGUGCUUUCGAUACGGGUUGACUUGAGGAAGGUAGGGGAGAAUGGAAUUCCUGGUGGAGCGGUGGAAUGCGCAGAUAUCAGGAGGGACACCAGUGGCGAAGGCGGUUCUCUGGGCCUUUCCUGACGCUGAGGAGCGAAAGCGUGGGGAGCGAACAGGCUUAGAUACCCUGGUAGUCCACGCUGUAAACGGUGGGUACUAGGUGUGGGGUCCAUUCCACGGGUUCCGUGCCGUAGCUAACGCUUUAAGUACCCCGCCUGGGGAGUACGGCCGCAAGGCUAAAACUCAAAGGAAUUGACGGGGCCCCGCACAAGCGGCGGAGCAUGCGGAUUAAUUCGAUGCAACGCGUAGAACCUUACCUGGGUUUGACAUGGAUCGGGAGUGCUCAGAGAUGGGUGUGCCUCUUUUGGGGUCGGUUCACAGGUGGUGCAUGGCUGUCGUCAGCUCGUGUCGUGAGAUGUUGGGUUAAGUCCCGCAACGAGCGCAACCCUUGUUCACUGUUGCCAGCACGUUAUGGUGGGGACUCAGUGGAGACCGCCGGGGUCAACUCGGAGGAAGGUGGGGAUGACGUCAAGUCAUCAUGCCCCUUAUGUCCAGGGCUUCACGCAUGCUACAAUGGCUGGUACAGAGAGUGGCGAGCCUGUGAGGGUGAGCGAAUCUCGGAAAGCCGGUCUCAGUUCGGAUUGGGGUCUGCAACUCGACCUCAUGAAGUCGGAGUCGCUAGUAAUCGCAGAUCAGCAACGCUGCGGUGAAUACGUUCCCGGG